GCGAGAGUGGUGAAACUGGUAGACACGUCAGACUUAGGAUCUGGCGCCCUCGGCGUAAGGGUUCGAGUCCCUUCUCUCGCA
rnacentral:tRNA from 1 species